rnacentral:rRNA from 1 species
CUAAAGAACCAUACUUUUUUUUU